CGCCCUCGCCGCCCGCACAGACCCGUCACCGGCUCGGCUCCGGGUCCAGACCCUCUCCCCUCACGGCCCCCGCCUCCCCUCCAGGCUCCCCCAGGAGCGUGGCUGGCACCGAGCACAACCCCAGUCCCCGCCGGCCCGGCGCACCCGGUGGCAGGCGGCUCCAGCAGCUCCUCCCAGUCGGCGUCCCGGGCGCCGAGAUCAGACCGGCUCUUUAAUUUCCGCCAGACUGAGGGACUGUAAAGGAACAGAGCGACUUCCGCCUCGUCCGGCUGCAAACCCCAGAGCCGCAGCUUCUCGCCGGGGUGGGGAGAGACCAACUAUCGUACACGCGCAUGCGCACGACGGCCGGUUUGAGCAGAUGGUGCAAAAUGCGGGGGGGUGCGGGAGAGCUGGAGUCCGGCGCAUGCGCACUGACAGCCUGGUCCAGCUGCUGGGCUGUGCGCAGGCGCGAUGCGGUGCGCGUGGGAACCCAGUGGUGGUUUGACGUUGGCCCCGGAGAUGUCGUAUGGACGCUGGUGUCUGGACUGACCCACAGGGUUGGUCCGGUGAGGAGAGUACGUCGUGAGGACCAGCUUUGGACAGCCCAAAGAAAAUAGGCUUUUCUUCAGAAACACCUGUGUCCACUUUAAGGAGCCAGCAAUGUACACUAAUGUGAACGAAUCCAGAAAGAGUGGCUUGAAAAGUAACCAGCAUGAAUAACAUGGUAUCAUCUAUGGAAAAAUCCACUCCAGCUUCAGAAUACCUGGCUUAAAAAGAACUUUCAUAAUGGACCCAUUUCAUGGGAUUGUUUUAUCCUGCAUUCUUGGGGUCUUAGACUGCUUACCUAGAGUUUUAAGAUCUAUGUGAACUAACUCUUCUUUUGGUAAGUUAAUAAUGAAACAAAAUAGUAUCCAAGCUAAAUCCAAUUUAGUAUCCAAGCUAAAUUUGGAUGUGUUUUAUUAUUAUUAUUUAUUUUUUGUGUGUGGUACGCGGGCCUCUCACUGCUGCGGCCUCUCCCGUUGCGGAGCACAGGCUCCGGACGCGCAGGCUCAGCAGCCAUGGCUCACGAGCCCAGCUGCUCCGCGGCAUGUGGGAUCUUCCCAGACCGGGGCACGAACCCGUGUCCCCUGCAUCGGCAGGUGGACUCUCAACCACUGCACCACCAGGGAAGCCCUGGAUGUGUUUUAUUAUUUUUUGUUAUGUUUUUGUGACACUUGUACAUUGUGAAGAAGUAACUGAGCAAAAAUUCUACAUAGUAUGUUCACAACUCAUUUUGAAUAUUGUGUGUUUUUUAUAAAAAUUACCUGUCUUUAUGUAUAAUUGUAGAAUUUUGAGGUAUGUUUAUUAAAGUCCUUCCAGGGAUAUGUUGUACUAUUAGAUUGCAGGUUAAGGGGAAGCUAUAGAAUCCUUUUUACCAGUUUUACCUUUGAGAGUUGUGCUUUUAUAUACAACGUAAUGUGAACAGCCAAUGUAAAUUUUUAAAAUUUGUAGUUAUAUUUAUCUCUGUGCUGUGCACAUUUUAUUUUUCUCACUUUCUCUCCUCAAAUAAAUUGUGAGAUGUUUUUAACACCA